rnacentral:rRNA from 1 species
GUGCCAGCAGCCGCGGUAAGACAGAGGGUGCAAACGUUGCUCGGAAUCACUGGGCGUAAAGCGCGUGUAGGUGGCUUCGCAAGUCGGGUGUGAAAUCCCUGGGCUCAACCCAGGACGUGCAUCCGAAACUGCGUCGCUUGAGUACUGGAGAGGGCAGUGGAAUUCCCGGUGUAGAGGUGAAAUUCGUAGAUAUCGGGAGGAACACCGGUGGCGAAGGCGGCUGCCUGGACAGUUACUGACACUGAGACGCGAAAGCGUGGGGAGCAAACAGGAUUAGAAACCCCCGUAGUCC